GACGAACGCUGGCGGCGUGCUUAACACAUGCAAGUCGAACGGAAAGGCCCUGCUUUUGUGGGGUGCUCGAGUGGCGAACGGGUGAGUAACACGUGAGUAACCUGCCCUUGACUUUGGGAUAACUUCAGGAAACUGGGGCUAAUACCGGAUAGGAGCUCCUGCUGCAUGGUGGGGGUUGGAAAGUUUCGGCGGUUGGGGAUGGACUCGCGGCUUAUCAGCUUGUUGGUGGGGUAGUGGCUUACCAAGGCUUUGACGGGUAGCCGGCCUGAGAGGGUGACCGGCCACAUUGGGACUGAGAUACGGCCCAGACUCAUACGGGAGGAAGAAGUGGGGAAUAUUGAACAAUGGGCAGAAGCCGGAGGCAGCAACGCCGCGUGCGGGAUGACGGCCUUCGGGUUGUAAACCGCUUUCGCCUGUGACGAAGCGUGAGUGACGGUAAUGGGUAAAGAAGCACCGGCUAACUACGUG
rnacentral:rRNA from 1 species